rnacentral:tRNA from 1 species
GGGCCGUUAGCUCAAUUGGCAGAGCAGGGGGCUUUUAACCCUCGGGUUCUGGGUUCGAGUCCCAGGCGGCCUACCA